rnacentral:piRNA from 1 species
AGGUUUGACCAUUUUGUUCUCUUGCAG